AUGGCAGGUCGCCCGUUGCUGGCCCCGGCCCUCACGCUGCAUCCUCCUGGACCAGCGUUGGGCUCGAGGGCCUCGCUAUACGUCGGCGACCUCGAUGAUGGCGUGGCGGAGGGGCACCUCUAUGCCCCGUUCUGCAAGGUGGCGCCCGUGGCGUCCCUCCGUAUAUGCCGGGACGUCAUUGGCAGGUCACUUGGGUACGCCUAUGUGAAUUUCUACAGUCGGGAGGAUGCCAAACGUGCAUUAGACUCUUUAAAUUUUACCCCUGCCAACGGGAAGCAUAUCCGAGUUAUGUUCUCGAAUAGGGACCCAACGCUGCGAUGGAGUGGAAAGGCCAAUAUAUUCAUAAAAAAUCUUGUGCCAAAUAUUGAUGGCAAGAGCUUGAGUGAUAUGUUUGGUCGCUAUGACACUAUACUAUCAUGCAAAGUGGCCACUCACUUUAACGGUCAAUCAAAAGGGUACGGAUUUGUUCAGUUUUCAGAGGAGACAUCUGCCAAUGAUGCCAUCGACAGCUUGAAUGGCAAGUUGGUGAAUGGCAAACGAAUUUUUCCAAAUAUCAGCGUGAGUAAUUAUACAAAUGUAUAUGUGAAGAACUUGCCAAAGGAAUUCACUCACAAUGACCUUCUGCAAGAGUUUGGUCCUUUUGGUACAAUUACUAGUGUUGUAAUCAUGAGAGAUAAUGAUGGAAUAUCCAAAUGCUUCGGAUUCGUUAACUAUGGGGAAUCAGAAUGUGCUGCAGAAGCUGUGAAAAGUCUUAAUGCUCAGAAAAAGUCAGAAAGAGAAGCAGAACUGAAAGAAAACUUAGAGCGUGCAAGAAAUGAGAAAUUCAAAAAGUUUGAAGGGCUCAAUCUAUACGUGAAGAAUCUAGAUGAUAGUAUUAAUGAUCUAAAUCUUAGAGGGUUAUUUGAAUUUUUUGGUGAGAUAGGAUCAUGCAAGGUUAUGGUUGAUUCACAAGGAAGGAGCAAGGGUUAUGGCUUUGUGUCAUUUACAACCAUUGAAGCUGUCCACAAGGCCAUAGUCGGCAAAAAGCCAUUGUAUGUUGGUGUAGCUCAACGCAAAGAGGAAAGACGAGCGAUGCUAGUGAUGGUGUACCCAAAUGCCAACCAAGCCUUCACAUACAUGCCAAAUUCUAUGAAUGUGAAUGCCAACGCUGUGAUGGUUCCCCCGGGCUUCGUGCAAACUGAUAGUACUGUCUCUACUCCAUCUGUUCCAAGCAAGGACACCACCACCACUGCUAUAGUUUCUUCUGACCCGGAGAAACAACAUCUCGCAUACAAUGUGGAAUCGGUAAGCUUCAGUUCUACAACUUCAAAUGACAAAAAUAAUGACCCUUAA
rnacentral:rRNA from 1 species